rnacentral:rRNA from 1 species
UCCUACGGGACGCAGCAGUGGGGGAUAUUGCACAAUGGGGGGAACCCUGAUGCAGCGACGCCGCGUGGGCGAUGGAGUGCUUCGGCAUGUAAAGCCCUAUCAGCAGGGAAGAAAAUGACGGUACCUGACUAAGAAGCCCCGGCUAAAUACGUGCCAGCAGCCGCGGUAAUACGUAGGGGGCAAGCGUUAUCCGGAUUACUGGGUGUAAAGGGGGCGCAGACGGCAGCGCAAGCCAGGAGUGAAAGCCCGGGGCCCAACCCCGGGACUGCUCUUGGAACUGCGCGGCUGGAGUGCAGGAGGGGCAG